rnacentral:rRNA from 1 species
GCAGGAACUUGGAUGCGGGCGCAAGCCCAACUCUUAAUUCUUGAUCUCAAAUCAGGUAGGAUUACCCGCUGAACUUA